rnacentral:rRNA from 1 species
ACUCAAAUGAAUAGACGGGGACCCGCACAAGCGGUGGAUUAUGUGGAUUAAUUCGAUGCAACGCGAAAAACCUUACCUACCCUUGACAUGUCCUGGAGGCGGGAGAGAUCUCGCUGUGCCCGAAAGGGAACGGGAACACAGGUGCUGCAUGGCUGUCGUCAGCUCGUGUCGUGAGAUGUUGGGUUAAGUCCCGCAACGAGCGCAACCCUUGUCAUUAGUUGCUACAUUCAGUUGGGCACUCUAAUGAGACUGCCGGUGACAAACCGGAGGAAGGUGGGGAUGACGUCAAGUCCUCAUGGCCCUUAUGGGUAGGGCUUCACACGUAAUACAAUGGCGCGUACAGAGGGUUGCCAAGGAGCGAUCUGGAGCCAAUCCCUAUAAAGCGCGUCGUAGUCCGGAUUGCAGUCUGCAACUCGACUGCAUGAAGUCGGAAUCGCUAGUAAUCGCGGAUCAGCAUGUCGCGGUGAAUACGUUCCCGGGUCUUGCACACACCGCCCGU